rnacentral:rRNA from 1 species
ACAAGGAUUCCUCUAGUAACGGCGAGCGAACGAGGAAAAGCCCAGCACCGAAUCCUGUACCGUCUUGGUACUAGGAAAUGUGGUGUUUAGGCCGUGCUUUGUGCUGGUACGACUCUCCUCAAGUCCACUUGAUUGUGGCUUCAGGCCCAGAGAGGGUGUAAGGCCCGUAGAGGCGAGUAGUCUGGUGCCCGGCACGUCCUUAGAGUCGGGUUGUUUGGGAAUGCAGCCCUAAGCGGGUGGUAAACUCCAUCCAAGGCUAAAUACUAGCACGAGUCCGAUAGCGAAGAAGUACCGCGAGGGAAAGUUGAAAAGAACUUUGAAGAGAGAGUUCAAGAGUACGUGAAACCGCUGAGAGGCAAACUGGUGGAGCUGAAAUGGCUUUGAGGAAUUCAGCCCUUCGCACUUGAGAUGAUGCUUGUUGUGAGAUCUCACGACUCCGCUGGUGUCACUUCUUUAGCGUGAUAGGUGCACUUUCCUCUUAGUCGGACCACGACCAGCGAAUUGUCUUGUCUAACAUUUGUGGAAGGUAGCCUUGACUUCGGCCAAGGUGUUAUAGCCACUUUUUUGGAGCGAGCGAUGCGUUGGAUAACUUGAUGCCUGCCCUUUGGGCUCGUACGUUGGCUUCUUUCUGCGGUGUUUCCGGCUUCACUGCGUCAGCAGGGGUGUUGGGGAUGCUGCGGUUAGAGUCGGCCUCUGCGAUUGGCGUCUACAGUCUGUGGUUUUGAAGUAGGCAGUCCACCUGACCCGUCUUGAAACACGGACCAAGGAGUCUAACAUGUGCGCGAGUCAUUGGGCUCUACGAAACCUAAAGGCGCAGUGAAAGUGAAGAUCCAUUUUGGUGGAUUGAGGUAGGAUCCUGGGUUACGUGCUCAGGCGCACUACCGGCCCGUUCGACAUGUUUUCAUGCGGGCGGAGCAAGAGCGUACACGUUGGGACCCGAAAGAUGGUGAACUAUGCUUGCGCAGGUCGAAGCCAGAGGAAACUCUGGUGGAGGACCGUAGCGAUU